rnacentral:lncRNA from 1 species
CAGCUAUCUUGAGUAGUUGGUCCAGCUCUGGUGGAAUUUUCAAGUUUGCUGCAAUAACCUUGGAGCAGAGCAUGAGCCUUGGGAGCAGUUGUACAAGCCUUAUGUCAUCUUCACUAAGUCCGGGUACAACUGACAGCUCUACAACGAGAUGAGAAAGCUCAUGUGGCAUGUCACCUAGGAGCACAUAAGGAAUCCAAGGCAUCAUUACAGCUUUAAUCUCUUAAGCAUUUACGGCUAACUCCUUGUUUCCACUUCCAGAGGUUCCUUCGUUUGCUACCAAUGCUGAAGGAUACUUCCUUAUCGCUAGGAAACUAGCAAGCCUUGAGGAAGGAGAAGUUAUUUACGCCGAG